rnacentral:rRNA from 1 species
GGAGUUAGCCGGUGCUUCUUCUGUGAGUGAUGUCCUUCCUGCCGGUUAUUGACCCGCAGGCCUUCUUCCUCACUGAAAGUGCUUUACAACCCGAAGGCCUUCUUCACACACGCGGCAUGGCUGGAUCAGGGUUGCCCCCAUUGUCCAAUAUUCCCCACUGCUGCCUCCCGUAGGAGUCUGGGCCGUGUCUCAGUCCCAGUGUGGCUGAUCAUCCUCUCAGACCAGCUACGGAUCGUCGCCUUGGUGAGCCGUUACCUCACCAACCAGCUAAUCCGACAUAGGCUCAUCCGAUAGCGCGAGGCCCGAAGGUCCCCCGCUUUCCCCCGUAGGGCGUAUGCGGUAUUAGCCUGGGUUUCCCCAGGUUAUCCCCCACUACCGGGCAGAUUCCUAUGCAUUACUCACCCGUCCGCCGCUCGCCACCAGGGAGCAAGCUCCCCGUGCUGCCGCUCGACUUGCAUGUGUAGCNCGCCGCCACGCGUCAUCUGAGCGAGAUACAACUACUCGA